GGACAAGGAGAAUCCGAGUGUUUAAUUAAAACAAAGCAUUGCGAUGGUUCUCGCGAAUGCUCAUGCAAUGUGAUUUCUGCCGAGUGUUCUGAAUGUCAAAGUAAAGAAAUUCAUCUAAGCGUGGUUAAACGGCGGGAGUAACUAUGACUCUCUUAAGGUAGCC
rnacentral:ncRNA from 1 species